GCAUAUGAUGCCAUGUAGUUAGAUGAAGUAUUAAACGAUUAUUAGUAUGUUAAUUUAAUUAAUUAACUUAAUCAUAUUUUACCUAAUUAUACACAAUUAAAUAUUUACCAAAAUCUUUUUCACUUUUCCUUUUAUUUCAUUUCACCCCCUCUGUAAAAAAUUUCCAAUUUGAGAUGGAAAAUCGAAAGGUCAAGACGAAUGUUCCUUCGAUUAAAAUCUAGUUUGUAGCGCAUUUCGUCAUUAAAUUUACUUUUGACCAGAUGUUGGAGUUCUUCGAGUUGAAAGGAGCUGAGCUUAGUCGAUGUUAGCAGUCGGCGAUUCCACGAUAUUGUUUUCUAUUUGGACAGAAAAAGUACCUCGUAAAGGUUAGACUUUUUAUUUUCCUUCUUUAUGUGGUUUUGAUUUCUAGCAUGUUUUGUUGAUGCUACUGUAAAAAUACAGAAGUUCUUGUUGCAUGUGCUUUAAUUUUCUAGGCCCUAGUCUUAUAUUAUUUGUUAUCUGUUUUGCAUAGGUUUUGAAAUGUCAUUUGAAUCGUUACAGUAAGAUUCUUCCAUGGAGAAAAAAUCUCUAGGGAUAAGAUAAACUCAUUUACAAAGGAUGAUUAUAUAGGUAAAAUUAUUAUUUGCACUUGAUGUUGAUGUAGAUAGGUUCUCUUAGUUAUAGUUACUAGAUUAUGUUAAAGAGUAUGGCUACAAUCCUUCUUCUACUCGUAUUUGUAAGACCACCUAGCGGUCCUGGUUUGGUAGAAACUAAAGUGGACAUGAAUACUAUGGGCAGUUGUCAUGUGUUAAAAUAUGGAGACAUGUUGGAUGUAUUUGUAGAGGACAUGGUUGAUGAACCAAUAGUGGACCCCACCCCAUCCCCCCACCUUUCUUUAGAAUUCCCUAUUUUGUAGGUAGAAUUUGGUCAAACUUCGGGAUUCCGAAAGUUUGGGCACUUAUGAAAGGGCAUAUAAUGCAGCUAAUACCCCUAUUGAACUUAUUUCCCCCUAAAUCUACUACCCCUCCUGAACCAACUGUCUUCUCCCCCCCCCCCCCCCCCNNNNNNNNNNNNNNNNNNNNNNNNNNNNNNNNNNNNNNNNNNNNNNNNNNNNNNNNNNNNNNNNNNNNNCCCCCCCCCCCCCAAAAAAAAAAACUACUGCCUUUGUUGAAUCUAAAGAUGGCUUUAGCACUAAGGAUAGUUCUAACUAAUUCAGAUCAUGUAGAGUUAUUUGAAGAAUGACAAGAGUAUUAUGGUAUUGAUAUACAUGAGGAAUAUAGGUCAUUUAGGGAUGAAAGAAAAAUUGAGCAAAGAAAAAAGAGAAAAGUUAGAGUUCCUGCAACUGAGAGUGUUAAAUUGGGUAAGGAAACGGUAGAUGUAAGGUAUGGUGAGUAUGCGGCUAAGAUUGGGUCAGGGCAAAGGAAUUCUUUGGAGGGUAAAAUAGGAGGGGAUGAACCAUAGUAUCCCUCAGAUGAAGCUUCCAACUUUGAAACUGAUGAUGAUGAUGAUGAUGACGAUGAUAAAGGUGAUGGAGAUGUUAAUAAAAAAACCUAAAACAAGAAGAAGAAGAAGAAGAAAUAUAAAAAGAAAGUGAUAUUUGAUCCAAAUUGUAAGUCUAUUGUGUGGGAGCUUGGUCUUACAUUUUAGAGUAUUGACAAGUUUAGAGAAACUUUUACUAGUUUUACAGUUAAAGAAAAGUGAUAGUUGAAAAAUAUAUUAAUCAGCCAAAUAGGGUAAGGUUUAAGUGCUAUGAUGGUUGUCCAUGGCAUCUUUUUGCUAGUUAUGACUCAAGGACUAAAGACUUAGUUAUGACUCAAGGACUAAAGACUUAUGGUGAAGAAGUACAUUCCAAUAACCACAUAAGAACCUACAAACAAGAAUAAGCUAUGCAACAGCAAAUACCUGGCUAAAAAAUUCGAAGAUAGAAUAAGAGAGCAACCUAACAUUAGAAUUUUAAAUUUUCAAGAACUUGUAAGAAAAUAAUUAGGUCUGUAUGUUGGGAGAUUGGUUUGUAGGAAAGCAAGUAACACGGUUUUGAAUAAAAUAAUGGGUGACCAUCUGCUGGAGUUUAGAAAAAUUUUGGACUAUAUAUGUGAAAUGGUUAGAUCCACUCCUGGUAGUAUAUGUGUUGUCAAACUAAGUGAAAGACAUUUGAUGGUAUCAAGAAAAUCUUUGUUGCCUUCUACAUCUCUUUUACUACAUUGAAUAAGGCUUUCAAGGCUGGGUAUGUAACGACCCGAUCGGUUGUUUUGAGAUCUAGCGCGUUGUUCAGCGGUCUGAGGCCAUGAGCAAUUUCGUUUCAGGUAUACUGACUUGUGUGUAUGGUCGGAAUUGAAAUUCAGAAAGUUCAAAGUUAAAUUUAAAUGAAAAUUCCUAUUUCGGAAGCUUUAAGUUGAAAGAAUGAACUAGAAUUAGAUUUUUGAGUACACGACCUCAAAAUAUGGAUUUGAAGGUUCCAACAUGUUUGUAUGAUGAUUUUGGACUUGGGAGUAUGCCCGGUGCGGGUUUUGGAUAACCCGGGAACAUUUUGGCGCCUAUUGUGGAAGUUAGUAUUUUGGAAGAAAUUUUUUAAGUUUGGCUUGAAGUGCAUUUCAGCGUUAUCAAUGUCUAUUUGGGAUUCCAAGACUGGGAGUAUUUACAUAUGGUGAUUCUGAAGUUGGGAGCGCGAUCGAAAGUGAAUUCGAAGCUCCGUAAGUCAUUUUGAAGCCAUUUGGCUAAAGAUAGAAAUUUGAAGGUUUCUGAGAAGUUUGACCGGAAGUGGACUUUUUGAUAUCGGGGUUGAAAUCCGAUUUUGGAAGAUGGAAUAGGUUUGUAAUGUCAAAUAUGACUUGUGUGCAAAAUUUGAAGUCAAUCGGACGUGAUUUGAUAGGUUUCGGUAUCGGAAAUAGAAGUUGAAAACUUCAAAGGUCAUAAAGCUUGGAUUGGAGGUCGAUUCAUGGUUUUGGCGUUGUUUGAUGUGAUUUGAAGUCUCGAGAAGGUGCGCAAUGUAUUUUGGGAUUGGUUGGUAUGAUUGGUUGGGGUCUCAUGUGAAUUCCGGGUGGUGAGCGGAUCAAAAGUUAGAUUUUUGGAAAAAGUUGAGCAGCUGGUAUCUGCUAUUUCUGCUUCUGCGAAAAUGGGACCGCAGAAGUGGCCCUGCAGAGGCGAAAUGUGGACCGCAAAAGCGGUUUUGACCAAUAGUGAAGGGGACGGCAGAUGCGGUUGAGCAGACGCAUACGAGGAACCGUACCUGCGUUGGCAAGUCGCAGAAGCGGAAGAGAGAGGCCUCGUUUGGGACCACAGAAGUGGCCUGGGUGUCUGCAUAACCGAAAUUGCAUAGGCGGAAGUAAUUCUGUAGAAGCGGAAAGUGCUAGGGCAUAGGGGUUGUUUUAAAAAUCGAUUUUGGCUCAUUUAUCUCAUAUUUUCAUGACUUGGGCGAUUUUUUGGGAGCUUAAAGAAGGAAUUUUCAUCGUCAAUAAUUGAGGUAAGUUAAUCCCCACCCAUUUUGAGUUAAACAUAUUAAUUUUGUGUGGAUUUGGGCAUGAAAAUUAGUAUAAAAAUUGAGGUUUUGGUGGAAAACAGAGAAAAUUAUAUUCUUGGAUUUUGACCACGAUUUUGAGUAGGAAAUUAAGAGAAAAUUAUAUAUUUGUGUUCCUGAGGUCAUGGGCAAAGUUUAUCUUCGAAAAAUUUCGGAUUUCGGGCAUGUGGGCCCGAGGGCAUUUUUUAUCAACUUUUCGUUCAGGGUUAAGAAUUUAUAAGGCAAAGUUUAUCUUCAAAAAAUUUUGGAUUCCGGGCACGUGGGCCCGAGGGCAUUUUUUUCAAAUUUUUGUUCGGGGUUAAAAAUUGAUACAAAUUGAGUUGUAGAGUUUAAUUAAGCAUAUAUUAAUGGUUUUGAAUGACCAUUGGCUAGUUUUGGAGUAUUUUGCGUGGGUUCGAGCUGUCGGAAGGAUGUAGAGGGCCGGUAAUGGAUCUUCGGGCGAGGUGAGUCUCCUUUCUAAUCUUGUGAGGGAGAAUCUACCAUAUAGGUGAAUUUAAUUGAUUAUGAGCACCUAUUUGUGGGGGCUACUUAUGCACGAGGUAACGAGAGUCCAUGCGUAGCUAAUAUUUUUCUAUUGUUCGGGUAGUCUAGGACCCGAAAGCAUGUCAUACUUGAAUAAAUUGUGAAUCCCUUUAAUCGCUUGAAUUGCCUAAAUCACAUUAACUUAGUAAAUGAAUGUCAAAGGCAUUAAACUUCAUUUCUUAAAAAUUUGUUAAAGGAGAAUUGGUUUUAUUUGAAUAGAUAUUCCCCGAUAAGCUCUUAUUUUACUGAUUGAGCAUGUAUUCUUAUGUGUACCUUCGUCACCUGCAUGAUUCGCGAGCAGGGUAUGUGUUUAUUUUUGGAACGGGCCGAUCGACUCGGUAAAAUAGAUGCAUUUAUGGUAUGGGCCGCUCGACCCUCGGCAGUGCACACUUUACAUUUGUGUUGGAGCGGGCCGUCGACCUCGGCAUGAUGUGUGCGUGUUUGUGCUAUUAUCUUGAACUCAUUUCAGUUGUUUUAUGACAUUAUGGCUCGAGAUCAUUUUAUUUUUAAUAACAAGAAAUCUAAGGAAAUUUUCCAUGAAAGAAUGAUAUGACAACUUGUUUUCCCAUGUCUGAAUUAGAAUCAUGUUUGUAAAACAAAUUCACUAUUUGAAUAUAUUUACUACGGAUAAAUAGUCAUUGGACUGCUAGUGAGUGUUAGAGUUGACCAUCUUGUCUCUACUCCUUCGGGAUUAGGCGGGACACUCAUUGGGUACACGUUAUUUUUGUACUCAUACUACACUUGCUGUGCAUUUUGUUGCACAGAUUUAUUAUGUGGCUCAUGGCUUAGCAGCAUGACGGGCGCAGAGACUAGGUGAGCUGUAUUUCUUCGAGACGAUUCCACAGCUAGUAUAGUCUCUUGUAGAAUUUUAUUUACUUUCCGUCCAAUUGUAUUCCGGGCAGUUGUUGUACCUAUUUGGUUUCUUUUAGAAAAUUGAUCAUGUACUUGUGACUCCGGGUUUUGGGAUGUAUUUGGAUUCGUUCAGAAAAUUUGAAAGUUGAUUUAAUAUUUCCUUAUUAAUUGGAAGGAUAAACUGAGCAAUGCUUUAAUCAUAAUAAAAAAGUGUUUUCGAAAUUAUUAAAAUAAGAAUUUAAUUAAGUAUUUUAGUUGGUUGGCCUGACGGCGGUGUCCGGCGCCGCCACGACCUUGAGUGGAUUUUUGGUCGUGACAACAUGGCAUCAGAGCACUACGUUCCCGUCGGUCUCACGAGUCAUGAGCAAGUCUAUUAGAGUCCCGUGAAUUGGUACGGAGACGUUUGUCCUUAUCCUUGGAGGCUACAUGGCUGUUAGGAGUACUUCCCUUCUUGAUUUCCUUAUUGUGCAAUUCGAUUUCUCUGAGGUAUAUGCCUUUGUUUCCUUCCUACUCAAUCUUACGCGACGCGAGCGCUUGCUAGAAAUCGAGAAUUUGAAGAAUUGAAUGGAACUACAAAUGUGGUGCGGGAUAAUUUUUUCGGUAUAGUUGAUCGGACUAUUAUAGCCGCUUUAUGGAAGGGUAUACUAUUAUUCAGCUCAGUAACACAACUUCUAAGAGCCUUGAGGCUAGGCACAGGUAGCCAUGAUGCUUAUAAGCUAUUAUUCCGCGAUGUGGCUAUGAUGGUAGGAUAAUUGCCCAUGUGUCGAGGAAGUGGACGAAUUGAAGGGAAGUUUACUCAGCAUGUAAUCAAGGGAUCCAGUAUUUUAUUCCUGGCAAGGGAAAGGCAGUCGGACUAAGGAUGGUCAGAUCUGGGCUGGUGAAAGUAAUGAGACCUAGUAUUUGCAAGCGUGGUGGAGCUUUUCUUCUAUGAUGGGGUGUCGUGGCCCUAGCGGAACGUACCAAGCUCGUCGAUGUAAUAAACUGCUAGGAUUUGCCUUUAUGGCAGGAUAAUUUGAAAUAGUAUUGGAGAUACAGCUGUCAGAUAUAUACCAAGUUCGUUGAUAUUAUAAUCUGCUACAAUUCGCCUUUAUGGCAUGAUAUGGUGAAAUAGUAUUAGAGAUAUAGCUGUCAGAUAUCGCACAGUGCGGUGGUUUAAGAUCGAAUUAUAAUUUCUAAUGUUGAUGGAUCGAUAAAGAUGACCUUCGGUGUCACGACCCUAGUUCACCAAUUGUGAAUAUGUCAUGACGGCACCAGUCUUCGCGACUAGGUAAGCCUUAACACAUUGUGAAAAAUAACAGUGCGGAAAUAAAACAAUAACAAACACUAAAUAGAACAGGAAAUGUAUUCGGUGCUGCUUGGAACAUACACUGCACACACCACUUCUGAAAGAUAACAUCCCAAAACCCGGAAUCCAACAUGCAACACAGGUCUAAGACAAAUGAAAAUACAGCUUUAAUGUAUGAAAAGUCUAAUACAACAGAAAUAAUAAGGAACAGUAUUGCUAACUAAGAUAGAAAGGACGGAGACUCUCUGGUCUGCGGACGUAGCAGUAUACCUCAAGUCUCCGAUAGCAAGAUCCAAACUCACUAAUGAUACGCCUGGUCGGAUGCACCUAGAUCUGCACAACAAAAUUGUGCAGAAGAGUAUCAUGAGUACAACACAGCGGUACUCAGUAAGUGCCAAGCCUAACCUCGGUUGGGUAGUGACGAGGAAGGUUGAGGCCCUUACUGAGAUAAAUAUAAGAGUAAAUAUGAAAUGGAAUAACAGUAGGAAUACAGUAAGUCUCGAAUAUCUAACGAAAUAAUAAAAAGAACGAAACAGGCUAUAAUACAAUUCAACAAAACAAGUACAAUCACUGCAGGCUAUUUGUCAUGCGGGGAUCUCCUGAUAUCUCGAGGAUCUCCUGGUAUCCCCAUUAUAUACACAAGGAAUCUCCAAGUAUCCAGGGGAUCUACCAGUAUCCUCAUCAUAUACACAAGGGAUCUCUAAGUAUCCAGAGGAUCUCUUAGUAUCCUCCGGUUAAUCAAUUCUGCGCUGAGGAUCUCUUAGUAUCCGCCAGUUAAUCAAUUCCUGUACCAGGGAUCUCUUAAUAUGUCGCUUUUCCAAAUCUCGGAAUAAAUUACGAACAGGGGAAACUCCUGAGAUGUCGUCCCGCAUUCCCAAUAGUAAACACACUGCAACAACCAAUAUUUAGCAGAGAGGAUCUAAGUGCGCCAACAAGUAAAAUCUAACGUUCUAGCAUUCUUCACAAGAAAAGACAGAUAUUGCAGUUUAGUCAAGUAGAGCAAAUAUGUUACUAGCAUGCUUUCCUUAAGCUAAAACAAGUGAAAUUUCAUUAUUAACAGUUAAACAUGUGAAGAACACGCAGUCUACAUAAGUCAAUUAGGGGUGAAUUUCAACAACCAGCACAAGUACACGCCCGUCACCUUACGCACAAGGCAUUUAAUCAACAGCAAGGAUAUCCUAAGGGGAGAGCUCCCCCACACAAAGUUAGGCAAGCCACUUACCUGGAAUUGGUACAAAACCGGUAAGAUGCCAUGAGUAUCCGACUUCUAGUGCCCCAAAUCUAUUCAAACCAAUUACAUAUUUUAAAUAACAUCGUAAGUAACUAAUUACACUGUUAAAAUUAAAUCCAAGGCACGAAAAUAGGUGAAAGGACAAAAAUUCCCCUCAGGGCAACAUAUUGGAAUCUAAUAAUUUUUACAUUUUUAGAAACCUCUUACUCUCACGAGUCUAACCAUAUAAAAAUCUCCCAAAUUGGAGGUCAAAUGCCCAUUCAAAACGCAAAUAGUUUAGCCAAAGAAGUUUUUACCCAAAUUACCCAAUUUUUUAUCCAAAUUUCGAAUUUAAAUGAUAGAUUUAACCACAAAAGGAUGGAAUAUAACCAAAAAGGAUCAUAGAAACGUUACUCAAUAAUUUUCUCUUCAAAACCCUCUCAAAGUCGCCCUUGCCCGAGCUCAAACUUGAUUUUUCAACAUAUGAAAUUAUCAGAUUUCUCUUAAAUGAAUAGCACUUUCCGCUUUUGCGGACCAUGGACCGCAUUUGCGGUCCCGCUUUGGCAGAAAAUUAACCGUUUCUGCAGUCUCACUUAACGAGCCCAGAAUCCGCUUUUGCAGACCUUUCACCGCUUCUGCGAUUUCGCAUACCCGGUCUAGAGUCCGCUUCCACGGUUUCUGAAGAAAGGUCCCCUUUCUUCUUUUGCGACUAACCAGACGCUUAUGCGGCGCCACUUCUGUGGUCCCCAAGCCACAGAAGCGGAAACAACAGAAGCUGCAACAAAAUUUCCAUUCUAACUCCCAAAACCAACCCAUCGAGCAUUCGAAACACAUCUGAGGCCCUCGGGACCUCAACUAAAACUAUAAAACUAUCCUUUAACAUCAUCCAAACUUGUACCAAUACUUGAAUCACCUAAAAUAAUGUCGGAAACACAAUUUAAUCAAUGAUUUGAACUUAAAACUUCCAAAACUUAACCAAACUCGCUUUCGAUUCAAAACCUAACCAAAACACGUCCGAUUGACCUGAGAUUUUGCACGCACGUCCCAAAUGACAUGAAGGUGCUACAGUAACUUCUGGAAUCCCGUUCCAACCCUCAAAUCAAAAAUUCAAUAUCGGAUCAGAAACUUCAAAAUUCUAACUUUCAGUAUUUCUAACCAAGUUGAGUUGGACCUCCAAAACACAUUCCGGACACGCUCCCGACCCUGAAAUCACCUAACUGAGCUAACUAAACCAUUGGAUCUCCAUUCCGAGGUUUUCUUGACAAUGUUCUAAUUACAUACCAUUUUCCAACACUUAAGCUCUCAUUUAGGGACUAAGUGUCCCAAAACACUCCGAAUUCUAUCACCGAACAUCCUGACAAACAAAAAUAGCAUAAAUGAAUUUAGGGGAAGCAGUUAAUGGGGGGAACGGGGCAUAAAUCCAAAGAUGAACUACCGUGUCGUCAUAUCCUCCUACACUUAAACAUUCAUUCAUCCUCUAACGAGCAUAUAGAACAUACUUAAAGUUGUAAAAAGAUGAGGGUAUCAGCUGUGCAUAUCCCGCUCGAUCUCCCAAGUCAUCUCCUUAGCUGACAGACCCCGCCACCGAACCCUUUUGGCAAACCAAAAUAGCAGAAAUGAACUUAGGGGAAGCAGUUAAUGGGGGAACGGGGUAUAAAUUUCAAAGACGACCGACCGGGUCGUCACAUUCAGAAAGGCUAAAAGAUUAGCUGCUAUUGUGGGUUCAAGUGCAUGAAGAUAGGUUUUAUUUAAGGCAAAAAUUGAGCAAUAGAGCAUGAAGAAAGACAUGUGGGAAGUAUCAGGCAGUGUUUAAAACUUCUAGGAGGCCAAGUAUGAGGAGCAAGGUCGAGGGUUUAAUUAUAAAGAUGAGUUUCGCCAAAGUGGGAGAGUGGUAGGUGUUGCAUAUGGGCUUGGUAGUAGGACGACUACACCUUAAGGAGAGUUUAGAUUGAAUUAGGUAUUUUGAUGAUUAGUAAUUGAAGCCUACAAGUAUGAUGUGAAGUAUGGGGCUAUUUCUGUCAUAGUGAAUGUACCCCGUGCAGUGGCGUGGGAAGAUGUCGGGAGGUGAUUCCCCUAGGUGGGUUAUUCCCCGUGAGCAAGUUAGCGGUCGCAUGGUUGGCGAAGCUUCUGUAAUGAAUUAUAUUGGUUGUCCAUCAAAGAGAUCGAUCGUACAAAUGUGUAUGAUGAAUCAGAAUAUGAAAGAUGGGGAUUUAGAGGAAAAUUCCAAUAAAUUUUGAUAAUUUAUGACGUGAGGUUAUGCCCAUAAGAGGUAAAGAGGUCGGGCGAACUCAAGAAUUAUUAAAUGAUGGCUUCAAGCUAAAUGGGAGAGUCACACCGCUUAUGAUUGGGCUGUAUGAUUAGCUACUUGCGUGAUUUCUGUUUACUAGCAUAUUGAUGGGCUAUUUCAACUAUGGGAAAAAACCACAAGUGGUAGUUUGAGCAAAUGAAUUGUUGGAGGCAUGAUAUGGUUGGCCUUAUUGGCUCAUGUUCGGACUUGGAAAAAAGUUCAGGAUCUAUGCCUCGUAUAUAUGCAGGUUUUAGAGGAAGUGAUUUUGCCGGGUGUUCUGCGGAGAGAGUGUUCGUGUGUUAUAAAAUCUAUGGAGUGGGUUAUAUUCGGGACCGAGUCAGAGCGUGUUUCUCUCAAUAAUGGCCCUAGUUAAUCCAGUUGUUUAGGUGUGGUGCUCAAUGAUUUUGAGCCUAUGAGUAGGACUACGAAUCAAGCUUUGUUGCAGCUUAUGAGAAGGUGCCCAGACUGUCCUACCAUAUUUGGACUUGCGGGUAGCGUUUAAGAGAUAUGAAAUGGUUCAUGAGAUUCAAGACAGCAUGGUCUCGUGAUGCAAGGUCACUCGGGAUGACUGCAGAUGGAGUAUGCUCUGUGUUGAAUGAAGAGGUAUUAUUCCUAAGGCAAUCAAAGAUAAAUUAGAAGAAGGUAAAAUGGUUAUCCAUAGUUGAAUUGGCAUGUUGGGGCUAGAGAUUAGUUCGGUUCGUGUGAUAAAGUUAUGUGUAUGAUUUGUGGAGGUGCGUGUGAGGUUUUUCGGUCGUUGUAAUUGAUGUUAUUCAAAAGCAUUCUUUGUUAAGGCUUGUUAAGUGAAAGCAAAUUCCGGAAGGGCUAUGGUGGCUUGGACCACUACUUGCAGAUUUUCACAUUCUACGGUUAUGGGAAUUUACCCGUGUGUUGCUAUGAUUCUCCUGAAGAGAGUUAAAUGAAGAGUUUUAUAUGAUGAAGUGUUAGUCUAUCAGUGGUUCUAGAUGUGAUGGAAAUCGUGUCUAUCGUAUAUCGACACAUGGGGUGUUGUGAGUGGUGUGGAAUUUGAAGUGAGGAUUAAGGUUACAGUUUGAUAAUAAGUAUGAUGUCACAAGCUAGGAUGAGCAGGGAGUUUCCAUGUUUUGAGUAAUUGGUAUUGUCUUCAGGGUCACCUAAGAUCGGUGUUUUGUGAGAAAGCCCUUGCAUCCUGGUUAAGAAUUCUAGAUCGCUUUUUAGCGUUAGUGCGUCCGAUGGUUUGGUUAUGCGGACCCGUUAUUUAUUCGAAAGAUUUUAGGAGCGCGUCCCACGUGAAGAUUGUAUAAGUGUGACAUGUAGUCUCUUGAUUGGCUAGGGAUUUAAACCAAGUAUGAGGAUAAUGGUAAUAUCAUUAAAGAUAAUGGUAAUAUCAUUAGUUUGAGAAUUUAUGCCUGGAGGGUACUUUGUUUAUUGAGAUAUGAAUGGAGGAGGUUGCUUCGGUUAUAAUGGUUGUUCCUGUAUAUUACGAGGAAGAAUGAGUUACUAUGAACCUUUGAAAAUUUAUUAGCCAAGUUUGUGCAAUUAGAAAUCGGCUUGAGAUUAGUUAAUCAAGUUAUUUGUGAAUAGGGCUUUAUAUCAGGCCAGUUGUGUUCGUUUCAACGAGCGUUCUCUAUGGAGGAACAGUCAGAGUGUUGUUUUGUCAUCAGCUAUUCAGGUAAUGAUGUAUUGCGUCGUAUGAGUUGUGAAACGGCUUGAUAAAUUCCUUAUAUGUUGAGGUUCCACGUAGCUGUGAUGUUAUAUGACUAGGAUGGAUCCUGAGAUUCAGAUCAUGUAUCGCACCUUAAUGGUGCUUGAGUUUUGUAGGCUAUAAUGCUAUAUGUUUCCUCAGGGAUGGUAUUAUACACCUUAGUGUGUCUAUGACCAACAUUCGGUACUUUGUUGGAAUGAGCAAUUUAUCUCGAUGUAUAUCUCCUUAGGUGAGUUCUACAUGUGGAUCGGGUGGCACGCCGUCAUGGGUAUGUUAUUUGGAUCGGGUGGCACGCUGCCAUAGCUAUGUUGUAUGGAUCGGGUGGAACGCCGUCAUGGUUAUGCUGUUCGGAUUGGGUUUCGUGCCACAAUAGUAUGAUGUUCAAUACAAUCCCCCAUAUUUGCUUUUAUGUGUUUUGUCUCCUAUCCUUCCCAGAAUUCUAGUUCUAGUUGUAAGCUCGCGUCGCAUAUAUGGUUUGCCAGCGGGGUAAUUAGGUCUCCCUUUUCAGAGCUAAGCCUCCUUUGUGUUUCACAUUCUGAUAGGUAGCCUAUUGGCACAUUGUAGCAUCCUAUGGGACUUUUGACCAUGUCCCGGAUGGCUUAUUGCCUGAGCAGUUCGUACUGGGUGAAACGAGUGCAAUUUGAUUAUAUGAAGUGUAUUAAGGAGCCUAAGACCAUUAGAUGGUUCAUGAUGAAGUGAUGAUGCUUGUCAAGAGUAUAGACCCAAUAAAUUAUUGAUUCGGCAGUUGGUUAUGAAUUAGGCGCAUCUUUUCCGUCGUGUUUGUGUUAUAAAAGUUAGAGCAAGACCUAUGUAGGUCGUGAGGUGUGAAGGGAGCAUCUGAUUCAUUGAAUUUUGGCUAAGUUGAUCAUAAAAAUGUUAUUGUGGUCCGGCGGACUUUGUGUUGCAAAGUAAGAAUCCAGCGAAGUUAUGCAGUCAUGUUUGAGGGGCAGCGUGUGGUGAAUGAUUUGGUGAUCUCUUGAUGAAAACGAGCCUGGCAUAGAAUUCCGGAUGUUGGAAUUCGGAUCUAAGUCAUAUUUGCUUAAAUAAAAGGAAAUAUCUUCAGAAUAUAUCGAGCCAAUGUGCUCAGCUAAGCUGCGGCAGCACGAGAAGGUGCAUAAGGUGCUGAUUAGUGAUCUCAGACUACUUCGGUAUAGUUCUCAGCACGUUCGGGUAUGAACGCAUAAUUAAGUGGGAGAGAAUGUAACGAUCCGACCGGUCGUAUUGAGUUCUAGCGUAUCGUUCAGCAAUCUGAGGCCAUGAGCAACUUCAUUCAGGUAUAUUGACUUGUGUGUUUGGUCGAAAUUGAAAUUCAGGAAGUUCGGAGUUAAAUUUAAAUGAAAAAUCUGAUUUCGGAAACAUUAAGUUGAAAGAAUGAACUAGGAUUGGAUUUUUUAGUAAACGACCUCGAUAUCAGGAUCUGAAGGUUCCAACAGGUUCGUAUGAUGAUUUCGGACUUGGGGGUAUACCCGGUGCGGGUUUUGAAUAACCCGGGAAUGUUUUGGCGCCUAUUUUGGAAGUUAGCAUUUUGGAAGAAAUUUCUUAAGUCUGGCUUGAAGGGCAUUUCAGUAUAAUCGAUGUUUUUUUGGGAUUUCGAGACUGGGAGUAGCUCUGUAUGGUGAUUCUGGAGUACGGAGCCCGAUCGGAAGUGAAUUCAGAGGUCCGUAGGUCAUUUUGAAGUCAUUUGGCUAAAGAUAGAAAUUUGAAGAUUUCUGAGAAGUUUGUUUGGAAGUGAACUUUUUGAUAUAGGGGUUGAAAUUUAAUUCCGGAAGUUGGAAUAGGUCUGUAAUGUCAUAUUUGACUUGUGUGCAAAAUUUGAAGUCAGUCAGACGUGAUUGGAUAGGUUUCGGCAUCGGAAAUAAAAGUUGAAAACUUCAAAGUUUAUAAUGCUUGGAUAGGAGGUCGAUUCGUGGUUUUGACGUUAUUAGAUGUGAUUUGAGGCCUCGAGAAGGUCCGCAAUGUGUUUUGGGACUGGUUGGUAUGAUUGGUUGGAGUCCCGAGGCCUCAGGUGGAUUCCGGGUGGUUAACGGAUCGAAAGUGGGAUUUUUGGAAAUAGCUGGACAGCUGGUAUCUGAUAUUUCCGCUUUUGCAGAAAUGUGACCACAGAAACGGCCACGUAAAGGCGAAAUGUGGACUGCAAAAGCGGUUUUGACCAAUAGUGAAGCGGACCGCAGAUGUGGUCGAGCAGCCGCAUAAGCGGAACCGCACCUGCAGUUGGUAAGUCGCAUAAGCGAAAGAGAGGGGCCUCGUUUGGUACCGCAUAAGCGGUCUGGGUGUCCGCAUAAUCGGAACCACAUAGGCGGAAGCAAUUCCGCAAAAGUGGAAAGUGCUGGUGCAGAAAGGUUGUUUUAAUAAUCGGAUUUUGGCUCAAUGAAACAAUUGCAAUUAUUCAACCACAAGUCAGAAAGAUGCCAGGGAGGUCUAUCAAAAAAAAAAAAAAGGAAAACUGACUAGAGAUGAUACGUAAAACAUGUAACGAAAGGGAACAUAACAAAAGGGGGUGUCAUAAGACCAAGAGUGCAACUUCUAAUGCAGCAUUAAUUGAAGCACCAAGUGGUAGUUUUGUACCAAGUGCAACACCAAAAACUAGAAGAGAAAGGGAUAGACAAAAAGUUUCAUUAAUGUAGCAAGACCCUACAAGAGACCCAAACUGAUUUUGAAAUAGAAAGUACUUCACCAUCCACAAUGCAAGUCUUACCAUAUUUUAUAUAAUGGCUAAGCUAAGUUGUAAAUUCUAUUAACACUAACCAAUUUUUAUCUUUCUUUAACAGCCUAGAAUGCCUUCUAAUAGGUCCAAAAAUACUAUUUCUUUAGAAGAGGUCACUGGAGAUAGUGCACACACAUCAUCAACUGGAGUGAAGCAGAAAGGAAAAGCAUCUAUGACACAAAAACAGCUCUAGCAGAUGAGAGGAAAGGUGGUCAUCCAGACAAGAUCCAAGGCUAAACAAUUGAGUCAAGGAAGCUCCACAACACAUACCUGAAUGCUUUAAAAAUGUCAUGUGUACUUUUAUAUCGUAUGAUUAUGUAGCUUAGACUAUAUUUAAUUACUCUUUUUGUGUUGAUAGUUGUGACUGCUAUAGUUUGGAAACAACUUCUACUGUUAUUGUGGUAACUAAUGAAUGAGCAGCAAUGACUGCAAUUUGGACAGAUUUGUGAUUACUAUGUUAUUUCAAUGUAUAAUUCUAGACUUCUUGUUGCCUGCAAUUCUAUUGAUUCAAGAUACAAAAUUAUUUACAAAAGAUAUUCACCAACAUGGAAUACAAGUAAUCCUACAC
rnacentral:lncRNA from 1 species